rnacentral:ncRNA from 1 species
AAGAAAGCGCCUGACCCGUUGAGCGUAAUACAAUAUGCUUUUUAACGCUGAACGGAUGACGAGGAUGGAAGCUUAUCGAUUAUUCGGCGGAUGCUUUCCGGCUUUGCAGAGAAGCUGCAUAUCGGCAUACAAAACACAGGGCGACCGGUGAACAGAAGU